GAUGAACGCUGGCGGCGUGCCUAAUACAUGCAAGUCGAGCGAACAGUUCAGGAGUUUGCUCCUCUGACGUUAGCGGCGGACGGGUGAGUAACAUGUGUAUAACCUACCUAUAAGACUUUUAUAAUUUUGGGAAACCGGAUCUAAUACCGGAUAAUAUAUUGCACCUCAUUGUUCAAUAGUGAAAUACGGUUUUUCUUUCACUUAUAGCUGCAUCCGCGCCGCAUUCUCUAGUUGUUUAGGUAACUGCUUACCAAGGCAACGAUGCGUAGCCGACCUGAGAGGGUGAUCGGCGACACGGGAACAGAGACAGAGCACAGACACCUACGGGAGGCAACAGUAGAGAAUCGUACGCAAGGGGGGAAAGGCGGACGGAGGAACGCGGCGUGAGUGAUGAAGGUGUUAGGAGCGUAAAGCUCUGUUAGUAGGGGAGAACAAAUGUGUAAGUAACAGUGAAGGUAUUGACGGUACCUGGUCAAAAAGCCACGGCUAACUACGUG
rnacentral:rRNA from 1 species